CUCACUCUUGCCAGUAUCUGAUUCGCCUGCUCUUGAGGAAAGCCGGUGAGAAGCAGUAGGCAGGGGAAUGACACCAUCUAUCUAAGUUGUUGAUGGCCCUGCCUAAAACCAAGGACAAGAAAUCACUAGAUGAAAGCAUUGCCUAAACUCUUACUCUUUAUAUAUCUUCAAUAUAAAGAGAUUUAAAAAUGGUGUUUUCUUCAGUCAAGUACAUUCAGAGGACAAAAAUAAGAAAAGGACAUCGACAAGACUGAUAAGCACUAAAGUCAUCUUCCCUGUCCCGCCUAAAAGAAUUUUACUGAGUUCUUUCUGGAAAAAUAAACAGGAACCCAGAGGCUGAACUGGAAGAAAACAACUCACAGGGAUUUAAUCAAUGUAACAAGAAAUUGUCAGAAGAAAGAAAGACUUACAAGAUAAGAAUUUUCCACUAAGUGUGAAGUAAGUCUA